AAUUAAAUAUUUUGGAUGUAAGAAUUACAAACAAUCAAUAGUUUUUUUAAGGUUAAUUUCAUAUAGGUCCCUACAAAUAUAGUGAAUGACAAAUAUAUUUCUAUAAAGUUCAACUUUCAUAUAUUGUCCCUAUAAAAGUUUUGAUAUUUUCAAAAUAUGUCCCUCUAGUUUGUUACUGUUAGAGAAUCGUUAGAGAACUGAUUAUUUUUUUAAUUUUGCCAUCAUAAAUAUGUCCCUCCAAAAAAGCCAUAACAGUAUAAUAUAAGAGGAUAAAAAUGUCAAAAACUAACUAGGGUUAACUAUUUAAUCUAUGGUUAACUAAAUUUUUCUAACGGAUUCUAACGGCAGGGACAUAUUUGAAAAUAUCAUGACUUUUGUAAGAAAAUAUAUAAAAGUUAAAUUUUGUAGAAAUAUAUUUACCAUUCAUUAUGUUUGUAGGGAUAUGUAUGAAAUUAAUCCUUUUUUAUACUUAUUUUAUAUAAAAUUUUAUUUUAAAAAAUAGUAAACGAUAAUAAU
rnacentral:lncRNA from 1 species